CCUACGGGUGGCAGCAGUGAGGAAUAUUGGUCAAUGGGCUUACGCCUGACCCAGCCAAGUCGCGUGAGGGAAGACUGCCCUCUGGGUUGUAAACCUCUUUUGGCAGGGAGCAACGCCGGCUACGUGUAGCCGGACUGAGAGUACCUGAAGAAAAAGCAUCGGCUAACUCCGUGCCAGCAGCCGCGGUAAUACGGAGGAUGCGAGCGUUAUCCGGAUGUAUUGGGUUGAAAGGGUGCGUAGGGGGAAUGCCCAGUCAGCGGUAAAAUCGCGGGGCUCAACCUCGCUCCGCCGUUGAACCUGGUGUUCUUGAGUGGGCGAGAAGUAUGCGGAAUGCGUGGUGUAGCGGUGAAAUGCAUAGAUAGCACGCAGAACUCCGAUUGCGAAGGCAGCAUACCGGCGCCCAACUGACGCUGAAGCACGAAAGCGUGGGUAGCGAACAGGAUUAGAUACCCGAGUAGUC
rnacentral:rRNA from 1 species